rnacentral:pre_miRNA from 1 species
AGGUUGGGAUCAGUUGCAAUGCUCUAGUCUUAUCUGGUAUUGCACUUGUCCCGGCCUGU